rnacentral:rRNA from 1 species
UGGUGGAGUGAUUUGUCUGGUUAAUUCCGUUAACGAACGAGACCUCCGCGUGCUAAAUAGUUUCGCUUACAAUUUUUUGUAGGUUUGAGACUUCUUAGAGGGACUUUUGGGUAAUCAAACCAAAGGAAGUUGGAGGCAAUAACA